UACGUAGGAGGCAAGCGUUGUCCGGAAUUAUUGGGCGUAAAGCGCGCUCAGGCGGUUAUGGAAGUCUGAUGUUAAAGCACGGGGCUCAACCUCGGUUCGCAUUGGAAACUGUGUAACUUGAGUGCAGAAGAGGAAAGUGGUAUUCCACGUGUAGCGGUGAAAUGCGUAGAUAUGUGGAGGAACACCAGUGGCGAAGGCGACUUUCUGGUCUGUAACUGACGCUGAGGCGCGAAAGCGUGGGUAGCAAACUGG
rnacentral:rRNA from 1 species